UGUGAAUGAUGACAGAUUUCUCCCUGACUUGAUCGUGGGGGUAAAAACUGAUUUAAUGAGCCUGACAC
ensembl:snoRNA SNORD57 small nucleolar RNA SNORD57